AAACUUUGAUAACAAAAGAAGUGUUUUAAGGAGAUAUGAACUGAAAUGCUACACACAUAAGAAGAGGAAAUAACUUUUAUUCAAGGUGUAAAAAGUCACAGAUCACAGGUACUGGACUUAUGUGUUGGAGAACAGACCACUACUCAAAGCAGCUAACUAGGUGGCAGGAACUGUACGGUGGUUCUAACGUUUUCUUCCAAGACGAGACGGGGUUGUCCCCA